UGACCCUUGAAUAUAACCUAAAAAUCAGUGACAAAGUCUAAACAAAACGUUUGUCUCUUCCUAACCUGUCCACCUCUUCCAAACAUAAACAAACCAUAAAGAAACUUGUGAAAGUGCUUUAUCUUCUCUGAACACAUCAAAAUAAAAAUGUCGGACCCCCCAGACCUGUACCGUCUUGCCGGAAGUGACGGAUCUCAACCUGGGGGUCUGAUUCUAGUGAAAAAGCCCUCGGAUCACACAUUCAAGAAGCCCCUGCCCUCAGUCUUCGGUCUGGACAAAUUAGCCGAGAAGAAACGGCGGGAGAGCUCUCAGGAUCCCUCCAGCUCCUCCAGCAGCUCCAAGUCUUCCCGUCAGGAUCACAAAGACCGUCGUUACCGCAACCCCACAGAGGAAACACCGACGUACACAGGUGGUGUAAACAGACAAGCGCAGCGUCGCCUGGAGGAUCGACUUCGCCACCAGCGUCUUGACGUCCAAGAUCGUCGUGAUCGUCGUCGAGACGAUCGGGAGAGAAGCCGCAGUCGUGACAGAAGAUCCGAACGAUCAGACAGCUCUCGAUCGACCCCCAGAUUCAAGGACGAGCCCAGAACACCUCAGUUCCGUACACGCGACCCCACGUCCAAGAGCAACUGGGACGAUGACGACGACGAGGAGCCGAGAAAAUCGAGCUGGGACCACCCGACGCCGAAGAUCUAUCAUCGCGAUCACCGGGACUCCAUCAGGAGCGAAUUCACUCCGUCGUACAAGUACAACUCCUGGAACAAGGACAGAAAACCAUCUGGGGGAACCCCAAUGGUCAGCGAGGACAGGGACCAGUGGGAGGAGGAGCAGCAGAGGCUCGAUCGCGAGUGGUACGGGCUCGACGAUGGUGAGGCGCAUCACUUCGACGUCUCCGAGGAGUACACCCAGAAGAAGGAGCAGGAACUGGAGGCGAAACGCCAGAAACGUGUGUCCGCCCAGCAGAGGCAGAUCAACAAGGACAACGAGCUCUGGGAGAGGAACAGAAUGUUGACGUCAGGAGUGGUCAGUUCCCUCGACCACGACAACGAUCCCGAUGACGAGGGCGAAGCGAGGGUACAUUUACUGGUCCACAACGUGGUGCCCCCCUUCCUCGACGGCAGAAUUGUCUUCACCAAGCAACCGGAGCCAGUGGUGCCUGUUCGUGAUCCAACGUCUGAUAUGGCAUUGGUCGCGAGAAAGGGAUCGGCUCUUGUCCGGGCGUACAGAGAGCAAAAGGAGCGGAAACGAGCGCAGAAAAAACACUGGGAUCUGUCUGGAACGCACCUGGGGAACAUCAUGGGGGUGAAGGACAAGAGGAAGGAGGAGAGGGAAGCUGCCCCAGAGGAGACGGACUUCAAGGCCGGACAGAAGUACGCGAGGCACAUGGGCUCGUCCGACAACACCGACAGUCGUCAUCGACAGAUUCUCGCCCAACGACGGAGUCUUCCGGUCUUUGCUGUUCGCCAGGAGCUCAUGACCAUCAUCAGGGAGAAUUCGGUGGUGGUGAUUGUCGGGGAGACGGGAAGUGGAAAGACUACACAGCUGACCCAGUAUCUUCAUGAGGAUGGGUACAGCAAAAAUGGAAUGAUAGGGUGCACUCAGCCGAGGAGGGUCGCAGCAAUGUCAGUGGCGAAGAGAGUCUCCGACGAGAUGGCUUCUGCCCUCGGGGAAAAGGUCGGAUACGCCAUUCGGUUCGAGGACUGCACGUCCAAGGAGACCGUCAUCAAGUACAUGACGGAUGGUAUACUCCUGAGGGAGAGCCUGAGGGAGGGUGAUCUGGACAGAUACAGCGUCAUUAUCAUGGACGAGGCGCACGAGAGAUCACUGUCGACGGAUGUUCUGUUUGGAUUGCUGAGGGAGGUCGUUGCUCGUCGCCACGAUCUCAAGCUCAUCGUCACAUCCGCGACGAUGGACUCCAGCAAGUUCAGCGCUUUCUUCGGGAAUGCUGCGACCUUCCAGAUACCUGGGAGGACGUUCCCCGUGGAGAGGAUACACGCGAAGAAUCCGGUGGAGGAUUAUGUUGACGCUGCGGUGAAACAGGUGCUCCAAAUUCACCUUCAACCCAAGUCCGGUGACAUCCUGGUGUUCAUGCCGGGUCAGGAGGACAUCGAGGUGACCUGCGAGGCCCUGAACGAGAGACUCAGUGAGAUCGACUCCGCCCCAGACCUCCUCAUCCUCCCAAUUUACUCACAACUCCCCUCAGACCUACAAGCGAAGAUCUUCCAAAAGUCAGAGGGAGGUCUGAGGAAGUGCGUCGUUGCUACCAACAUCGCCGAGACAUCUCUCACCGUCGAUGGAAUAGUCUUUGUCGUGGACUCCGGUUACUGCAAGCUCAAGGUCUACAAUCCCAGGAUCGGUAUGGACGCCCUGCAGGUGUAUCCCGUGUCAAGGGCCAACGCUGACCAGAGGAGUGGAAGAGCUGGAAGAACAGGGCCUGGUGUUUGCUUCAGACUAUACACCAGGAGGCAGUACCUCGACGAAUUGCUGUUGACUGGUGUCCCUGAGAUUCAGAGGACCAACCUGGCGAAUACUGUUCUACUGCUGAAGUCCCUGGGGGUGCAGGACCUUCUGGCCUUUCAUUUUAUGGACCCGCCACCCCAGGACAACAUCCUGAACUCUCUGUAUCAACUCUGGAUCCUGGGGGCUCUGGACAACACUGGUAGGCUGACUCCCUUGGGGAGACAAAUGGCGGAGUUUCCACUGGAUCCACCCCAGUGUCAGAUGCUGAUCGUCGCGUCUCAGCUCGGCUGCACAGCUGAAAUCCUCAUCAUCGUCUCCAUGUUAUCAGUGCCCUCCAUAUUCUACAGGCCCAAAGGACGCGAGGAGGAUUCUGAUUCCGCGAGGGAGAAGUUCCAGGUGCCAGAGUCUGAUCAUCUGACGUUCCUUCACGUCUACCAGCAGUGGAAGAUCAAUGGAUACUCCAGCACCUGGUGCAACGAUCACUUCAUUCAUGCCAAAGCCAUGAGAAAGGUCAGGGAGGUGAGGCAGCAGCUGGAGGAGAUUCUCAAGCAGCAGAAGCUCGAGUUGACGAGCUGUGGGAAUGACUGGGACAAUGUCAGGAAGUGCAUAUGCUCAGCUUAUUUUCAUCAAGCUGCUAGACUCAAGGGAAUUGGUGAAUAUGUCAACUGCAGAACCGGAAUGCCAUGUUAUCUUCAUCCAACGUCUGCACUUUUUGGAAUGGGCUUCACACCGGAUUAUGUCGUUUAUCAUGAACUCGUGAUGACGGCGAAGGAGUACAUGCAGUGUGUCACUGCUGUUGAUGGACAGUGGCUAGCAGAACUGGGGCCCAUGUUCUUCAGUGUCAAGGAGACUGGCAGUGGACAGGCUAAGAGGAGACAGGCGGUUCAACAUCUCCAGGAGAUGGAGGGACAGAUGAAGGCGGCUGAGGAGGAGAUGAAGGCCAGGGCGAAGGAACAACUGGAGAAGGAACAAGCUUCUGUCAGGAAGAAAGAAAUAUUGACUCCGGGAAUCAGAGAACCAGGUACACCAGCACCUUAUAGGAAGACGCCAGCUCGACUGGGAUUUAGGACAAGUCUUGGAGAGUUUUGGAAUGACAUUUCUACGGUUUCCUGAGCUUCCGAGACUCCUACAGCAAAAAGGACCCGGAUUUGGGAUCAACCCUUUUUUCGUCCAUAUCUUUGGAAAUAUCAUAGCUAGGGCAAUUUGGCUGGCGCCAUUGGAUUCGUGAGACGAUUUCCGUUUUUUCUAGGGCUCCGGGAAUUUUCUAAAAUCGUUUUUCUCGGCUCCUGGGCCUCCUGCAGGAAAAGCCUCCAGCCCAGUUUGCUACGUUCUCCGUGACUUACAGCUUUGUGGCAGCUCGAUCGUCGGUAACUCCAACGAUCUGUUAAUAGUUUUCUCCCUCCUUUUGUUACGCUCCAAUGGAUUGUUUUUUUAAACCAAUUUCAACAUCCCACUACGUGUUCCCGGGACAUGCAGGUCAACUUGAAAUUCUUUAAUUGUAAAUGACAAAGGAAAAUGGAUUUCCGAUGAGAGACGAGUGCUGGUGGUUACGUAAUUGGACAGUGGGAGAUGUUAUUUUAAUUGUUCCUGUCAUUGAUCUAUUGAUGAUCCCGGAAUGA